rnacentral:lncRNA from 1 species
AGAAAGAAACUACUUACUAGAGUGUAUGGGAGGUGUCAAACCCAAAGUUAUCCAAGAAGAUGUGAGAAAGCUUAUAGGAGACUGGCCUUGAAGCACUACCUUGAUAAGAAUUCAAAUAAGGGCAUAAAAUCUAAACAGAUUUCUCAAACUGGUGAAUUUCCUGCUGAUUCUAAUGCCAAGGGAAAAGGGGGUUAUGUGACACAGUAGGUAGGAGAACAAGCACUUCAAGAAGAUGGAACAGGCGGCUAUGCUUUUGGCUCCUGGAUAGACAUCUUUGGUAUGUUCUUUAGAGGAAAGAACAUUAAAAUGAUAAAAAUGGUAUGUGUAGGCUCUCAACAAUCAUGAAGACUUAUAUAAUAGCGCAAUAAGAAAAUUGUCUCAGCAAAAGAAAGUGAUUGGUAACAAAAGUGAAGAUGGAAAUGGUAAGAAAGGAAGAGUAGAAGUAUGUUGUCAGAAAUUCAGAGGUACUGACAUGCAAAUUCAUUUAUGGCUGAGAUUUCCAGACUUCUCAGAUUCAUCAGAUGGGACCAGAAAUGGCUCAGUAAAAUUGGUUUAUGUGCAUGGAGUGGCAGAAUCUUGAAGAACAGACCAGUCCUAAUGACAGUUCUAAAAACUGCAAUGGAAGAAAGAUAGUCUGGGAGAAGAAGAUUUUAGAAGUUCAUACUGACAAAGGCAUGAAAGACAGCCAGAAGAUAACAUUCCAUGGAAAAGGAGACCACAAAUCAGGAUUAAAGCCAGGAGAUAUUAUUACUGUGCUAGAUCAAAAUAGCCAUGCUGUUUUUACUUGAAGCUGAGAAGACCUUUUCAUAUACAGGAACUUACAGCUUGUUGAAGCAUUCAGUGGCUUCCAGGAGCCAAUAUCUGUCAUUGAACAGGAAACCAUAAUCCUCACUUCUAAUCCAGAUCAUAAUGUCAAACACAGAGAUACAAAAUGUGUGCACAAUGAACGUACAGCAAUAUAUUGUUAACCACAUGAAGAUGGAUGCCUAAUCAUUGACUCUAAGUU